rnacentral:rRNA from 1 species
GAUGAACGCUGGCGGCGUGCCUAAUACAUGCAAGUCGAGCGAACAGACGAGGAGCUUGCUCCUCUGACGUUAGCGGCGGACGGGUGAGUAACACGUGGAUAACCUACCUAUAAGACUGGGAUAACUUCGGGAAACCGGAGCUAAUACCGGAUAAUAUAUUGAACCGCAUGGUUCAAUAGUGAAAGACGGUUUUGCUGUCACUUAUAGAUGGAUCCGCGCCGCAUUAGCUAGUUGGUAAGGUAACGGCUUACCAAGGCAACGAUGCGUAGCCGACCUGAGAGGGUGAACGGCCAACAUGGAAAUGAGACACGGUCCAGACUCCUAAGGGAGGCAGCAGUAGGGAAACUUCCGCAAUGGGCGAAAGCCUGACGGAGCAAAGCCGCGUGAGUGAUGAAGGGCUUCGGAUCGUAAAACUCUGUUAAUAGGGAAGAACAAAUGGGUAAGUAACUAUGCACGUCUUGACGGUAACUAAUCAGAAAGCCACGGCUAACUACGUG